rnacentral:rRNA from 1 species
CCUACGGGUGGCAGCAGUGGGGAAUAUUGCGCAAUGGGCGAAAGCCUGACGCAGCGACGCCGCGUGAGGGAUGAAGGUCUUCGGAUCGUAAACCUCUGUCAGCAGGGAAGAACGGUCACUGUGCUAAUCAGCAGUGAAUUGACGGUACCUGCAACGGAAGCACAGGCUAACUCCGUGCCAGCAGCCGCGGUAAUACGGAGGGUGCGAGCGUUAAUCGGAAUUACUGGGCGUAAAGCGCUCGUAGGCGGUAUGUCAAGUCAAGGGUGAAAGCCCCGGGCUCAACGUGGGAACUGCAUUUGAUACUGGCAAACUGGAGUGUGUUAGAGGAUAGUGGAAUUCCAGGUGUAGGGGUGAAAUGCGUAGAUAUCUGGAAGAACACCAAUGGCGAAGGCAGCUUACUGGCACGUAACUGACGCUGAGGAGCGAAAGCGUGGGUAGCAAACAGGAUUAGAUACCCGAGUAGUC